GUCCAGCACAGCAUAGUGGUUUGAGCAUUGGACUACAACUCUAGAGACCAGGGUUCAAUUCCCAGCUUGACC